UCAAGCAUUUAAUACAAUACUCAUUAUAAAGGAAAAAAAUUAAAGUUUCCAAUUUUUUCGGCUUCAAAUAGUUCAACAGAUGAGAUAUCGAAGCGUUGCAAUAGUUUCACUUACUUUACCGCAUUAACUUUUAUUUUAAAUAAUUAAGAUACCGAUCGCUUAUCAAAUUUUAACCAAAAUUUCAUUACUAAUAAUAAGAUAAUGCUGUUAAGAGCUGAAAACAGCGACGAUUGUUUAAUUUAAUUGUAUGAAUGGAAACUCACAUGCAUAAAUUGAAUCAGUGUAAAAAAACUCAGAAAGCUUCUCAUUACAUAAGUCUUAGCUGUUCAAUUCAAAACAUUGAAAGAGCGCAUAGCAUUUACAGGAUAUGUAAUGAUACGUUGCAGAAUCAAUCGUGUCAUAUUGCUGCGUAGUAUAACAUUGUUAUUAAAAAACCAAAAGAAACUGUCUUUAGUAGCGUGGCUUGCACACAUUAAGAACGUUGAGUUAUUUAAGUCAAGAUAUUUUUAAAUUCGAGGGUAAGCUGAUAAAGCAUUGAAGGAUAGAGACUUAUUAAAUGACUAGAUUGUAUUCUUUUUACAGAUUUUUAAAUAUUACUAGCAUGUUCAGGUAGGAAUUGUCGUAAAGUUUGAAUCUGAGAUUCUUCUUUUUCCGCUAGAUCAAGACGCUCAGCCUUGCGAAACUGUUCAAUAGCUUGUUUACGCUUUUUUAUGUUUUUUUUAAGUACUCGCAGAACGUCUAAGUCUGUAGUAACUGGCUUACUCGACUUGUUUGCAUAUUCGAUUUCCGAGAGAAAUACCUAAGCUUGUUAGCGUCAUAUUCAUCUACAAACAUAGAUAACAUAGUUCUGACAGCCUCUUCACAUUGCUUGAACACUGAUGCAAUUUAACAUGUAGACCGUCACGUUUUAUUUCCAACGUACUUUUAAAGUAGACGCAACAUCUUUUUGCCUAGAUUUCAUGGAAUCCAGCAAUUUUUUACGAAUAACUGCUUGAAGAUUUGGGAUUGCUGAAGCGUUAGCAAAUAAAUGACUAUUCCUAAGUUUGCUUACAUGUACUAUUAUAGCGUAAGUAUUGUACAUUACGAAUAGCUAUCCUUGAUGUGUGUACUAAGCGUUGAUUAAACAUUGAAUUCUUUUUCUUGGAUUAUGUUUUCAGGUCAGACCCAAAAAUUCCCCUAAAGGUGGUGUAGCGCAGAAAGUAUUUGGUAGUAGGAUUAUCCCAUUUUGUUUGGAGAUGUGGAAACUAAAAUAUGCGAAAUCGCUCAUUGACAGUGAGGUAACUCCAUCAAUUUAGCAAUAUUUAUUUAUUAGUACAAACUGAUUUUAAGAUUGAUUGCGAAAAUGAGACAUUUGCUUUCGGUAGAUUUUACAAUUAAAUUAAUGGUUAUUCAAAAUCAAAAUUGAAAAACAAGCAAUACAGUGCCGGGUAAUAACACUUACGCCUACAAUUAGGUCCUGCUACCUAAGACCUAUAAUUUAGUUUCCCUAUUAACAGAAAUGCUUUAUAAAGACCUCAUCUUAAUAUGUUAACAAAAGAUAGUUAUUAAUAGUCUCAUUUAUUGAACAGCCUGGUGUAUGUUGGAGACAAAAUGAAUUCGCAGUAGUUGAAAUGCAUAAGUAUCCAGCAAUCAGAAGCUUUUAUGAAAGAUUAAAUUCAUCUUUUUAAUGAUAUGGAGUAAUUUUUCUACGACCAACCAUCUGGCCAGCGCAGAAAAUACCAACUAUUUCAACUGCGAUGAAAAAAUUGCGGCCCCAUGCUUCAGAGGAUUGACUUUUCCAAAAAAGGAAGGGAGACUAAAAGAGAAAUUAGUGGAUCUGUUCUUUGUAGCAAAUAGUUGCUUACAUGAGUAUUGGAAGGGGGUGCAAUUUUUUGAGAAUGAUAUACUUGUUGAACCAGCUCUUUCGAAACAUUUGCCCAGUACAUAAUAGGUUGUUGUACAGCUAAAUUGAAAAAGUUAGUUAAACAAAUUAACCGUUAUGUUUAAAAUACCCGAUAAUUUUUGGAUUAAGGGAGUGAAACGACCCUUGGCUUGUUCAGCAACUGUUUUAGUAGAGUAGUGACUCUUCCUUAAAAAAUUGUAAUUAAUACGAGAGAUAAUUCGACUUGUGGAAAACAUUAUACUUCGAAAUAGCCUGAAUUGGAAAGAGAUGGGAUUCGGUAAGUUAAGGUUGUGAUGAA